rnacentral:lncRNA from 1 species
AUUUACUGGUUGGGAAUCCAAAGUUAAUGCCAAGAAGCAGCCGCCAGUUGGGAUCAAAUGUGAGCCUAUGGAUCAAGGAAUGUCUGGACACAGUAGACAAAGGUUUUUCAACUGGACGCCUUAGGAUACAUGCUUCCAAAAACAAAGUAGCCGAAAAGAAACCAGAGUCACAGAAUAUCAGAGCCAGAGGAACAUUUGGAGGUAAUUCAGUACCUCCUCCUUUUCAACCUACAGGGGAGAUAGUGGAAGAGAAGCAGGGAUGGGUCUGCCUUCUGUGCCCACAAUUCAUUGGAGAUUGUUGUGGUGAAGAAUUUCUUUUAUGAUGAAGGAGAAAUAAACUCCCAUCAGCUUUAAUUCAGGCAGGUUUAUUGAAAAGGUGAAGAAGCAUCUUGCAGAAGCAAAGCAUGGCUGAGGCUUGUGGGCUCUGUCUGGACAAAUGAGCAGCCGACAGUGGCUGAUGCUGCCCCUGACUCUGGGGCCGUGCGGUCUGUGGUUCUCUGUGAGCAUCUCUUCUAUUCUCUUGCACCUUCCCUCAGCCUGGCAGUCUCUGUGUACUCUUCAACCCAUAAUUGAGCGAGGCUGUACCAGCCCCAAUGCCAUGUAGCACUUUAUGUCAAAUUAGAAAGGCAUGA